rnacentral:rRNA from 1 species
GAUGAACGCUGGCGGCGUGCCUAAUACAUGCAAGUCGAGCGAACAGAUAAGGAGCUUGCUCCUUUGACGUUAGCGGCGGACGGGUGAGUAACACGUGGGUAACCUACCUAUAAGACUGGAAUAACUCCGGGAAACCGGGGCUAAUGCCGGAUAACAUUUAGAACCGCAUGGUUCUAAAGUGAAAGAUGGUUUUGCUAUCACUUAUAGAUGGACCCGCGCCGUAUUAGCUAGUUGGUAAGGUAACGGCUUACCAAGGCAACGAUACGUAGCCGACCUGAGAGGGUGAUCGGCCACACUGGAACUGAGACACGGUCCAGACUUCUACGGGAGGCAGCAGUAGGGAAUCUUCCGCAAUGGGCGAAAGCCUGACGGGGCAACGCCGCGUGAGUGAUGAAGGUCUUCGGAUCGUAAAACUCUGUUAUUAGGGAAGAACAAAUGUGUAAGUAACUGUGCACGUCCUGACGGUACCUAAUCAGAAAGCCACGGCUAACUACGUG